rnacentral:misc_RNA from 1 species
AGUCGUAACAAGGUAUCCGUAGGUGAACCUGCGGAUGGAUCAUUAUAGGGUGUUGGGUAAUUGUGAGUGGUUUUAUUAUUAGUAGUUUGAGCGGUGUUGGUUGGGAUGCGAAGCAGGAUUGCCGAGCAGGAUUGCCAAGCAGGAUUGCCAAGCAGGAUUGCCAAGCAAGACAGCCAACAUUGCCUCACGUUAAACUCUAUAAAUCUAACAAUUACAUACAAAAAAAAACAACUUUUAGCAACGGAUCUCUUGGCUCUC